rnacentral:misc_RNA from 1 species
GCAAUGGCUAUGAGUGAUGUUGAAAGGGCCAGUCUUUUUGGGGGAGGUAAUGUUAAAUUGCCUAAAGGUACUCUAAGUUUUACUGAUGGAUCUCCAUUCGAUAUGAGUAGAGAAGCUUAUGCGGAGCCAAAUGAAGCUGAUAUCCGCAACUGGCUGAAAGGUAUCAGAGAUAGUGGGUACAAUGUACUGGGCUUAUCAGCAACCAUUGGGGAUCCUUUGUUCAAAUGCUUAGACUCUCAGUCUGUUACUUUAGCCUUGAUGGAGAACAUACAACAUAUGGAGUUCAGGCACUUAAGGCUGCUUGAUCAUUUAGUGUUGAUCCCCUUAAUUAAAAAUUGCCCUUCAGAUAUGUGGGAGGCAUGGCUGGAAAAGCUCUUGCACCCGUUACUCACCCAUUCUCAGCAAGCUCUUAGCUAUUCGUGGUCUAGUCUGUUACAGGAAGGUAGAGCAAAGGUUCCUGAUCUGCAUGGCAUAGUCGAUGGCUCAGACUUGAACGUGGAAGUAAUGGAGGAAAAGCUCCUGCGAGAUCUAACUCGCGAGACGUGUUCAAUCCUGUCAGUUUUUGCUUUACCCACACUCAAUGCCGGACUUCCUUCAUUGGAGCCAUCUGGCUAUGUGAGCCGAGUGGAUGAGUUAUCACUUAAAGACUUGGCUGCAUUCGCCACAAGCUCCAUGGUUGGAUUUGUA